CACCGGCUACUCCGUGCCAGCAGCCGCGGUAAUACGGAGGGUGCGAGCGUUAAUCGGAAUUACUGGGCGUAAAGCGCGCGUAGGUGGCUUGAUAAGCCGGUUGUGAAAGCCCCGGGCUCAACCUGGGAACGGCAUCCGGAACUGUCAGGCUAGAGUGCAGGAGAGGAAGGUAGAAUUCCCGGUGUAGCGGUGAAAUGCGUAGAGAUCGGGAGGAAUACCAGUGGCGAAGGCGGCCUUCUGGACUGACACUGACACUGAGGUGCGAAAGCGUGGGUAGCAAACAGGAUUAGAUACCCUGGUAGUCCACGCCGUAAACGAUGUCGACUAGCCGUUGGGUUCCUUGAGAACUUUGUGGCGCAGUUAACGCGAUAAGUCGACCGCCUGGGGAGUACGGCCGCAAGGUUAAAACUCAAAUGAAUUGACGGGGGCCCGCACAAGCGGUGGAGCAUGUGGUUUAAUUCGAUGCAACGCGAAGAACCUUACCUACCCUUGACAUCGUGCGAACUUGGUAGAGAUACCUUGGUGCCUUCGGGAGCGCACAGACAGGUGCUGCAUGGCUGUCGUCAGCUCGUGUUGUGAAAUGUUGGGUUAAGUCCCGUAACGAGCGCAACCCUUGUCCCUAUUUGCCAGCGAUUCGGUCGGGAACUCUAGGGAGACUGCCGGUGACAAACCGGAGGAAGGUGGGGACGACGUCAAGUCAUCAUGGCCCUUACGGGUAGGGCUACACACGUGCUACAAUGGUCGGUACAAAGGGUUGCAAUGCCGCGAGGUGGAGCUAAUCCCAUAAAGCCGAUCUCAGUCCGGAUCGGAGUCUGCAACUCGACUCCGUGAAGUCGGAAUCGCUAGUAAUCGUGAAUCAGAAUGUCACGGUGAAUACGUUCCCGGGCCUUGUACACACCGCCCGUCACACCAUGGGAGUGGACUGCACCAGAAGUGGUUAGCUUAACCUUCGGGGGAGCGAUCACCACGGUGUGGUUCAUGACUGGGGGAAGUCGAGCA
rnacentral:rRNA from 1 species